UAGUUUAUCCCAGUUACGAUUCACUACUUGGAAAGCUUAUUGCGUGGGCUCCAACUAGGGAGAGGGCAAUUGAAAGAAUGAAGAGGGCUCUCAAUGACACCAUAAUCACAGGGGUUCCAACAACAAUUGACUAUCACAAACUUAUUCUCGACAUUGAGGU